GAUGAACGCUGGCGGCGUGCCUAACACAUGCAAGUCGAGCGAUUCUCUUCGGAGAAGAGCGGCGGACGGGUGAGUAACGCGUGGGUAACCUGCCCUGUACACACGGAUAACAUACCGAAAGGUAUGCUAAUACGAGAUAAUAUACUUUUAUCGCAUGGUAGAAGUAUCAAAGCUCCGGCGGUACAGGAUGGACCCGCGUCUGAUUAGCUAGUUGGUAAGGUAACGGCUUACCAAGGCGACGAUCAGUAGCCGACCUGAGAGGGUGAUCGGCCACAUUGGAACUGAGACACGGUCCAAACUCCUACGGAGGCAGCAGUGGGGAAUAUUGCACAAUGGGCGAAAGCCUGAUGCAGCAACGCCGCGUGAGCGAUGAAGGCCUCGGUCGU
rnacentral:rRNA from 1 species